rnacentral:rRNA from 1 species
AGCCGACCACGGUCGGGUCAGCGACUGGGGUGAAGUCGUAACAAGGUAGCCGUAGGGGAACCUGCGGCUGGAUCACCUCCUUU